CUAGCGACUUCAGAGUUUGAUCCUGGCUCAGGAUGAACGCUGGCGGCGUGCCUAACACAUGCAAGUCGAGCGGAGAUAUAUGUCUAGGAGAUUUCGGUCGAAUUAAUUGUAUCUUAGCGGCGGAUGGGUGAGGAACGCGUGGAGAACCUGCCCUUCACAGGGGGAUAACAGCUGGAAACGGCUGUUAAUACCGCAUAUGCUCACAGGAUCGCAUGGUCCAGGGAGGAAAGCCGAGACGGUGAAGGAUGGCUCCGCGUCGGAUUAGCCAGUUGGCGGGGUAACGGCCCACCAAAGCGAUGAUCCGUAGCCGGCCUGAGAGGGCGACCGGCCACAUUGGGACUGAGACACGGCCCAA
rnacentral:rRNA from 1 species